rnacentral:rRNA from 1 species
CGCCUGUUUAUCAAAAACAUGUCUUUUUGUUAAUUAUAUAAGGUUUGGCCUGCUCCAUGAUUAGUAUUAAAUAGCCGCAGUAUUUUGACUGUGCAAAGGUAGCAUAAUCAUUAGUUUUUUAAUUGAAAGCUGGAAUGAAUGGUCGGAUGAGAAAGAAUCUGUCUCACUCUAAAUCAAUUGAAUUUUAUUUUUAAGUUAAAAAGCUUAAAUUUUAUAGAAAGACGAGAAGACCCUAUAGAGUUUAAUAGACAGUGGAUUUAGUCAUAUAAAGAUUUUAGUUUGGCUAUUUUGUAGUCUAUUUUGUUGGGGUGACAUUAGAAUUGAUUAAACUUCUUAUUGGCUAGACAUUGAUUUAUGAAUAAUUGAUCCUUGAUUUUGGAUUUAAAGAACAAAUUACCUUAGGGAUAACAGCGUAAUCUUUUUGGAGAGUUCUAAUCGAUAAAAGGGAUUGCGACCUCGAUGUUGGAUUAAAGUUAAGAUUUGGUGUAGAAGCUGGGAUCUUG